rnacentral:rRNA from 1 species
GGAAGGCAGCAGGCGCGCAAAUUACCCAAUCCCGAUACGGGGAGGUAGUGACAAUAAAUAACAAUACAGGGCUUUAUAGUCUUGUAAUUGGAAUGAGUACAAUUUAAAUCUCUUAACGAGGAACAAUUGGAGGGCAAGUCUGGUGCCAGCAGCCGCGGUAAUUCCAGCUCCAAUAGCGUAUAUUAAAGUUGUUGCAGUUAAAAAGCUCGUAGUUGAAUUUUAGGCCUGGUUGGACGGUCUGCUCUAGGGUUUGUACUGUCCUGACUGGGUCUUACCUUCUGGUGAGCUGUCGUAUUGUUUACUCAGUGCGGCAGGGAACCAGGACUUUUACUUUGAAAAAAUUAGAGUGUUUAAAGCAGGCAUUCGCUUGAAUACAUUAGCAUGGAAUAAUAGAAUAGGACUUUGGUUCUAUUUUGUUGGUUUCUAGGACCGAAGUAAUGAUUAAUAGGGAUAGUUGGGGGCAUUAGUAUUUAAUUGUCAGAGGUGAAAUUCUUGGAUUUAUUAAAGACUAACUUCUGCGAAAGCAUUUGCCAAGGAUGUUUUCAUUAAUCAAGAACGAAAGUUAGGGGAUCGAAGACGAUCAGAUACCGUCGUAGUCUUAACCAUAAACUAUGCCGACUAGGGAUCAGGCAAGGAUAUUUUGACUUGUUUGGCACCUUAUGAGAAAUCAAAGUUUUUGGGUU